GAAGUUUUGGAAACACUGGCAAAAGGAGUACUUGCAGGAGUUGCAAAAGGACCCGCGCGUUGCCAGGCAGGCAGAUCAAAUCCAACCCGGUCGAAUGGUUAUCCUGAUGGACGAGUUGCUGCCUAGUACCCGUUGGCCGUUAGCGCGUGUGAUAGAGGUGCACCCCGGUCCGGACGGGCUGGUGCGAGUAGUUACCUUGCGUACGAUAAAAGGUUUAAUUAAGCGUCCGAUAGCCAAAAUAUGUCCUUUGCCAGUAGAAGAGAGAGGAAAUAACACUUUGCCAGCAGCUACGUAACCGAAAUGUCCGUAUUUGUCGAUUUAAUGUUUGUGCACCGCGCUUCGUCGUUGUAUAAAGAAAACCACGCGGUUUAUGUCAGGUCUGAGUUAGUGUUAGUGUUAGUGUUGAUGGUACAUCCCCGGCAAACAAUGCGAGGGUUGGUGAGGUACCUCUCGCUCUAAUUUCUCUAGUCUAGUCUAGUUGCCUCGCUUCCUCCUAUAGCGAUUCUGUCGAGCUGAGCUUUCACGUCCCUCACCACCGAUCUCCUUCCUACCCCUCGCCUAAGAUCGUCUGACGUCUCGCCUGACACCUUUCGUUGUGUUGGUGCUAUGCGGCUGCUGUCACUGUAGAAGUCAGGUUGUGUGUGUGUAAAAAAACGUAAACAGUGUUGUUGGCUGAUCAAUUUUGGUAAGUUUUUUAAUAAUUAAGUUCUUAAUUUUACGUAAGUAAGUGCCAUUUUAGCUAAAUUAAGUGGUAGAAGUCCUGCCCAAUGCGUGCUGGCUCCGUCGGAAGCGGUACGUGCAUGUACCGGCGUAGGAAAGUGGUGUGGUGAACAACACAGCACAAGGCAACGGAUAUAAUGCAGAAACGAUAUGGGCCUGCGGCAGGUGUUUGCGACUGUGCGCUGUGUAUGAUUGUGUAUGAUACGCCAAUUUUCCUCUAUCCUGGAACGUGGGCUUACGAGGAACCAUUUAAGAACAUCCUCCGGAAGCUGUACGGCGACGAGUCGGGCUCUACCAGCACAACACGCUAGAGGCCCAGCCGGCACCGGGUGCCCCGAUUGCGCCGUGAGACGGUGUCGAGCGCGCUCGUUAACAACGUUCGGGGCAGGAAUUCAACCCUUCGGAUCUGGAUUAUCCGCUGUCCCACAAUAGCUGCCGCAGCAACAGGACCGAACCGACCGCACUACUGAUUGCGGUCAAAUUUCCUGGCAGGAGAAAAAACCCCACAAGUGUAUCGAUUUCAUCGACGGCCGCUCGCUGGCAGCACCAACAUGCCACCGAAUAACCCCAGAAAGGCGACAAACACUCAUCACAGUGGCGACAGUGGCAAAUUGUUAACGUGAACCCACUUCCGCCCAUCUACACGACAUCGCGUUAAUAGUGUUAUUGUGUAAAUUGUAGUAAAAAUUACGUUAAUGAGUUAAGAUUAAUCUUAAGUGCGCUUUAAGGCAUACAUCGAUAUGCCUAAUUUUAGGUUAAGUGUUUUGAAAUGCGCGUGUGUGCGAAGGGUCGAAAUGAGCGCUAAGCAAACAAAGCGGCCGCGUAGGGCCCCGUGGUCUUGAGGGGCCCCAAAAAUGGAACCCACCCCUCGCUCGCUAGUAAAAUUUACAUUUGUGCUUGUAAACCUACAUUUAUGAGACUGCCUCCACUCGUAUGUGCGGGUUUUAUACAACAUUUAAGAUAAAUAAAUCUAGUUUAUAUUCUCAUAAAA